rnacentral:rRNA from 1 species
GACGAACCGUGCGAACGUUGUUCGGAAUCACUGGGCUUAAAGGGCGCGUAGGCGGGCUGCCAAGUCUGGGGUGAAAUCCCACGGCUCAACCGUGGAACUGCCUCGGAUACUGGCGGCCUUGAGGGAGGUAGGGGCGUGCGGAACUGUGGGUGGAGCGGUGAAAUGCGUUGAUAUCCACAGGAACUCCGGUGGCGAAGGCGGCACGCUGGACCUUUUCUGACGCUGAGGCGCGAAAGCCAGGGGAGCAAACGGG